rnacentral:rRNA from 1 species
AGAGUUUGAUCCUGGCUCAGGAUGAACGCUGGCGGCGUGCUUAACACAUGCAAGUCGAACGGACUCAUAUUGAAACCUAGUGAUUUAUGAGUUAGUGGCGGACGGGUGAGUAACGCGUGGAGAACCUGCCGUAUACUGGGGGAUAACACUUAGAAAUAGGUGCUAAUACCGCAUAAGCGCACAGCUUCGCAUGAAGUGGUGUGAAAAACUCUGGUGGUAUACGAUGGUUCCGCGUCUGAUUAGCUUGUUGGCGGGGUAAUGGCUCACCAAGGCGACGAUCAGUAGCCGGCCUGAGAGGGUGAACGGCCACAUUGGGACUGAGACACGGCCCAAACUCCUACGGGAGGCAGCAGUGGGGAAUAUUGCACAAUGGGGGAAACCCUGAUGCGGCGACGCCGCGUGAGUGAAGAAGUAUUUCGGUAUGUAAAGCUCUAUCAGCAGGGAAGAAAAUGACGGUACCUGAUUAAGAAGCCCCGGCUAACUACGUGCCAGCAGCCGCGGUAAUAC